CCUACGGGAGGCAGCAGUGGGGGAUAUUGCACAAUGGGGGAAACCCUGAUGCAGCGACGCCGCGUGGGUGAAGAAGCGCCUCGGCGCGUAAAGCCCUGUCAGCAGGGAAGAAAAUGACGGUACCUGAAGAAGAAGCCCCGGCUAACUACGUGCCAGCAGCCGCGGUAAUACGUAGGGGGCAAGCGUUAUCCGGAUGUACUGGGUGUAAAGGGGGCGCAGCCGGCGAUGCAAGCCAGGAGUGAAAGCCCGGGGCCCAACCCCGGGACUGCUCUUGGAACUGCGUGGCUAGAGUGCAGGAGGGGCAGGCGGAAUUCCUGGUGUAGCGGUGAAAUGCGUAGAGAUCAGGAGGAACACCGGUGGCGAAGGCGGCCUGCUGGACUGCAACUGACGUUGAGGCCCGAAAGCGUGGGGAGCAAACAGGAUUAGAUACCCGAGUAGUC
rnacentral:rRNA from 1 species